GUUCCUUUCUCCUGAUGUUAUAGUCACUGGGUAUUGCCACAUCCACCACGAUUGCAGUCUUCCGUUUCUUGACAACCACCACGAGGACAUUAGCAUUGAGAAAGGGCUGCUGCUCGAAACGGUUGCUGCUUUAACUUUGUCCUCAAAUAAAUUGUGGUAGCACCUGGGUGUGCACACCUAUACUAAAUGCGCAGGACUCGUGUUUGUUUUUUGGUUGUAUAUACACUGUUGGGAUUUCAGUGUGGAG